rnacentral:rRNA from 1 species
UGACGUCAAGUCCUUCAUGGCCUUUAUGUCCAGGGCUACACACGUGCUACAAUGGACGGUACAGAGGGUCGCAAUAUCGCGAGAUGGAGCCAAAUCCCAAAAAGCCGUUCCCAGUUCGGAUUGGAGUCUGCAACUCGACUCCAUGAAGUUGGAAUCGCUAGUAAUCGCGGAUCAGCAUGCCGCGGUGAAUACGUUCCCGGGCCUU